UCUUUUCACCGUUUUCUGUGUGUGUAGUCUAGGUGAAAUUUAAUUUCACCUAGACUACACACACAGAAAACGUGUAAAUC
rnacentral:pre_miRNA from 1 species